GGCUGAUUGUGGUCACUGGCUGUGUUUUUGUGAUUUGUUGUGUUUGGUUGGUUGGUGGGUCGCUGCUAAGUAUCGAGCUCCUGCGUGGUAACUCCACUCAUAGGUCCACUGUACAAGAGUAGUAGUGCCAGCCUCACUGGACCCGGGGGAAACCUUUGCGACACACACACACACAUGGAGUCAGCAGCCCCCCCCCCCCUCCCUGCUCUGAGGAACGUCUCUGCCCUCUCGUCACGUGGACUCGUUUCACCUGGCAUGGCGAGGAUCACGCAGGUAAGGCUUUUAACUCCAGACACACAGCUACACUAGUUCAACAAGCUAGUCUUGCCAGGUUUGUUUUUUGCAUCGCUAGCUAGUUAAACCUAACGUGCUUAUUGGACCAGGUUCAGCUAAAUGGAAACUUUAACCAUAACUUUAAGUCAGUUAAUAACACGCGGCCACCGAAACACUUUUUUCACCGGAACAACUCGGUUGAAACGGGAUGUUGUUGUGCCGACGCUCCAGCAUGUCUGCCGUGUCUUUUCUUGCUCCAUGUGAGCAGCUAAGUAAAGAGAUCCGCUCCUGAUGCAUCUACAGCUGAUGUUAUUCUUUUAAACGCAGCAUUAAAGCGUCUUCUAAGCAAAGAGACGGGCCGCGGAGUGAAAGCGAUGAAAAGUACACUCGUAGUGCAUCAGCACGAGUUUCACUACUCGGCUUCUUUGCACUUCAUUAUUGAUCCGCGUUAUAAACAUCUUACAUGUGGGAAUAAAGCAGCGCGCAUGAGAAAUGAUCCAGGCCGCGUGGAUGCAUGAAAUAAUUUGACUGAAUUGUUGUAGUGACUAGUCAUUUUAUUUGAAGGCUGAAAAAAUCUGGACAAGGCGUAAUGUCUGUCAUUCUCUCAGUAUACAAUUGUUUUGUUAUUGCACAUCAAAAAGUAUCUUUGAAUGUUCAACUUUGAUUGUUUAGUGAUUAACUUUGUCCAUUUCUGUCCCCAGAACAGUCCACAGGAGACUGAUCCUGUCCCACCUGCCUCUCCUGCCAGCAGCAUUCAUGAGAACAGUCCACAGGAGACUGAUCCUGUCCCGCCUGCCUCUCCUGCCAGCAGCAUUCAUGAGAACAGUCCACAGGAGACUGAUCCUGUCCCACCUGCCUCUCCUACCAGCAGCAUUCAUGAGAACAGUCCACAGGAGACUGAUCCUGUCCCGCCUGCCUCUCCUGCCAGCAGCAUUCAUGAGGUAAAUAAUUUAAAAAUUCAAUAUUUCUCUGUAACAUUUUGUAUACACAUCCUAAACACAUCCAUCCAUCCAUUCAAAAUUAGCAUCUCAGACUUAAAAUCCUUGGGUGAUCUGCUUUAUGUGAACUAUAUGUGUAUGCUUACAUUUGAUAGAUAUUGGCGAACAUAACCCAAUUAUGAUUCAGAAAACAUGUUUCGAAGGCUUUUAAAGUCAAACUGUCAGUUAGAGCAGUCUUUAUCUUUAGGGAAUGUACCCUGAAUGUGUACAUAAGUUAUAGCACAACGCAUUAAUG
rnacentral:lncRNA from 1 species